rnacentral:rRNA from 1 species
CAGUCGCCGCGGGAAUACAGAGGGUGCGAGCGUUAAUCGGAUUUACUGGGCGUAAAGCGUGCGUAGGCGGCUUCUUAAGUCGGAUGUGAAAUCCCUGAGCUUAACUUAGGAAUUGCAUUCGAUACUGGGAAGCUAGGGUAUGGGAGAGGAUGGUAGAAUUCCAGGUGUAGCGGUGAAAUGCGUAGAGAUCUGGAGGAAUACCGAUGGCGAAGGCAGCCAUCUGGCCUAAUACUGACGCUGGGGUACGAAAGCAUGGGGAGCAAACAGGAUUAGAUACCCCGGUAGUCCCUGUCUCUUAUAA